rnacentral:rRNA from 1 species
GUGGGGAAUCUUGCGCAAUGGGCGAAAGCCUGACGCAGCCAUGCCGCGUGAAUGAUGAAGGUCUUAGGAUUGUAAAAUUCUUUCACCGGGGACGAUAAUGACGGUACCCGGAGAAGAAGCCCCGGCUAACUUCGUGCCAGCAGCCGCGGUAAUACGAAGGGGGCUAGCGUUGCUCGGAAUUACUGGGCGUAAAGGGCGCGUAGGCGGACAGUUUAGUCAGAGGUGAAAGCCCAGGGCUCAACCUUGGAAUUGCCUUUGAUACUGGCUGUCUUGAGUACGGGAGAGGUGAGUGGAACUCCGAGUGUAGAGGUGAAAUUCGUAGAUAUUCGGAAGAACACCAGUGGCGAAGGCGGCUCACUGGACUGGUAUUGACGCUGAGGUGCGAAAGCGUGGGGAGCAAACAGGAUUAGAUACCCGAGUAGUCC